CAGAGACCUGGCCGUACAGCCAGGAUUACUCACUAUUUGGUCUCACUAUACCAGAAGAAGGAUCUUCUCAGCACCGCCAAGAAAAAGUAUGGAACUGAAGAACAUGAAUUUGAGAACCUAAGUCGUGGUUAUUACAUUGUCCAGGUGGAACCAAAGACGGUGAAUAACACGAGCCCAUGUGGAAAGACAGUUUACAAGGGCAUUCAACUGAUUUAUUUGGGUGACUACAGUGUGUGAGUGAGGACACGAAUGACAAGAGCGAAUGCCUUCUGAUGGGGACACCUACAUGUAGAUCUCAAUGCUCAGUGUCAAAUUUUGAAUGCGGUACUUCCCAGAUCCCAGUGUCUGAUACUACUAAGAAUGUUGGUGUGAUUCUCGAUCCAGAGCUUUCACUCGAUCACCAUGUCACCAAUCUGAUAAAAAGCUGAUUCUUUCAUCUGAGAAAUAUCGGGAACA